rnacentral:RNase_P_RNA from 3 species
GAAAUUCCCGGGAUAGCUACUUAAGCCUUUAUUGGUUUAAGAGGAAAGUCCGAACACCUCCUAAGGGCUAACCUUAGGAAUAAAAACAGUUGCUAACGGCAACCCGGAUAUAAAUCAGCGUAAAAACUGUAUAAACCGAGGGAAAGUGUCACAGAGACGACUCUAAUCGCACUUGUUUGUGCGAUAAAAGGUGAAAAGUUGCUGGGUGAGCUUUGGCUCUACCGGCUUUUCCGCCUGGUGACAGGCGUGAAUGGUAAACCCUGUUUGGUGUAACUGCUUUGGCAGGCUUGAGGCAAAUAGCAAUAUUUGUCCCAGAUAGAUGGCUAUCACGUACAGCAUUUGCUGUAUAUGACAGAAUUCGGCUUAUGAGGGAGUUUUUAAG